rnacentral:lncRNA from 1 species
ACUGCUCCUACCUGCUGGGAGUCUGCCUAGCUAUUCUGGAGCCUACACGUGGUCACCUGAAGCUGGCUCCAAGGAUGAUUUGGUGGGAAUGGGCUUCCCCUCUCCUUUAUAAAGUGUGUCUGCCAUUAAAAAUUUGAACCUUGAGCAGAC